rnacentral:lncRNA from 1 species
CUCCAAUUAAAUGAAUGCGCCUCUCGAGUGAAAUUACAUCAAUGAGCUAGUCAUCAACAAGGAAUUUGAUAGCAAACCAUUCUAUUGAGUGCCCCAUAAUUUAUUCAAUAACCGCUAAUCAGGGAGCUGAAAACAGCAAUAAAAAUUGGAUGUAAUUGUUGUCAUACAGAAAUUAAAUCAUACACUCAGUUUAGAGUGCAUACGUUGAACAACAACCUAGCAAAUUAACUAAUUAAAUAUUGAUAUCCUAUUGAAGUGAAUCCUGUUCAUUUGUGAGUAACGCACAGUUUUUCCCUACCCAAUAAGUAACCUAUAAAGACGAUUUUUAUCUCUCAGCUUGUUUGUCUGUGAGGUUUUUUGUCCAUGCUUAUAUUUGGCCCUGCGAAGGAAUAUAAAUCCUUUGACUCUGAACAAACCUUAUAACAAAACAAAGUACUUCUGCCGAGCCUGCACUCUUGCCUUAAUUCAUUUUCACCACUUUUUUUCCAAUGGGCAUGUUUUACAAUGUCUCUAGCUCCGGCUGCUUUGCUGUCAGCACAAUACAAACCGAGUGGAAAUCAGAGUGACUGGGGGCAUCAACUGCCCAGAAGACCAACUGCCCAGCAGACCAACUGCCCAGCAGACCAACUACCCAACAGACCAACUGCCCAGCAGACCAACUGCCCAGCAGACAAACUACCCAGCAGACCAACUGCCCAGCAGACCAACUACCCAGCAGACCAACUGCCCAGAAGACCAACUGCCCAGCAGACCAACUGCCCAGCAGACCAACUACCCAGCAGACCAACUACCCAGCAGACCAACUGCCCAGCAGACCAACUGCCCAGCAGACCAACUACCCAGCAGACCAACUGCCCAGCAGACCAACUGCCCAGCAGACCAACUACCCAGCAGACCAACUACCCAGCAGACCAACUGCCCAGCAGACCAACUACCCAGCAGACCAACUACCCAGCAGACCAACUGCCCAGCAGACCAACUGCCCAGCAGACCAACUGCCCAGCAGACCAACUACCCAGCAGACCAACUGCCCAGCAGACCAACUACCCAGCAGACCAACUGCCCAGAAGACCAACUGCCCAGCAGACCAACUGCCCAGCAGACCAACUACCCAGCAGACCAACUACCCAGCAGACCAACUGCCCAGCAGACCAACUGCCCAGCAGACCAACUACCCAGCAGACCAACUGCCCAGCAGACCAACUGCCCAGCAGACCAACUACCCAGCAGACCAACUGCCCAGCAGACCAACUACCCAGCAGACCAACUACCCAGCAGACCAACUGCCCAGCAGACCAACUGCCCAGCAGACCAACUGCCCAGCAGACCAACUACCCAGCAGACCAACUGCCCAGCAGACCAACUACCCAGCAGACCAACUACCCAGCAGACCAACUGCCCAGCAGACCAACUGCCCAGCAGACCAACUGCCCAGCAGACCAACUACCCAGCAGACCAACUGCCCAGCAGACCAACUACCCAGCAGACCAACUACCCAGCAGACCAACUACCCAGCAGACCAACUACCCAGCAGACCAACUGCCCAGCAGACCAACUACCCAGCAGACCAACUGCCCAGCAGACCAACUACCCAGCAGACCAACUACCCAGCAGACCAACUGCCCAGCAGACCAACUGCCCAGCAGACCAACUGCCCAGCAGACCAACUGCCCAGCAGACCAACUACCCAGCAGACCAACUGCCCAGCAGACCAACUACCCAGCAGACCAACUACCCAGCAGACCAACUACCCAGCAGACCAACUGCCCAGCAUACCAACUGCCCAGCAGACCAACUACCCAGCAGACCAACUACCCAGCAGACCAACUGCCCAGCAGACCAACUGCCCAGCAGACCAACUGCCCAGCAGACCAACUGCCCAGCAGACCAACUGCCCAGCAGACCAACUACCCAGCAGACCAACUACCCAGCAGACCAACUACCCAGCAGACCAACUGCCCAGCAGACCAACUACCCAGCAGACCAACUACCCAGCAGACCAACUGCCCAGCAGACCAACUACCCAGCAGACCAACUACCCAGCAGACCAACUACCCAGCAGACCAACUGCCCAGCAUACCAACUGCCCAGCAGACCAACUACCCAGCAGACCAACUACCCAGCAGACCAACUACCCAGCAGACCAACUGCCCAGCAGACCAACUGCCCAGCAGACCAACUACCCAGCAGACCAACUACCCAGCAGACCAAUGCUCUGCUCCAUGGAUCUGUAACACGUUUAUCUUUAAUAAUACAUCAAUACGAUCGGGGAGCUUUACCAUGCAACGUUAAGGAAUUAGGUCUUUCACAUCGGAUGAGCCUGAAUGUUAGGUUUUUUAAACGGCAUUCUGUUAUUUGCAAGACUACACACACACAAAUAAAGGACUAAAAUAUCAAGAGGGGUCCAACAUGAUCCUCUGUGUUAGUUUGUAGCCCAGUUCUAUAGCCAGAGGUAUGGCUAUGCAGUGAGUAUGGCUCAGUAUAGAUCAGCCUGCUGCGAUUUGGACUGGAGCCGCCCUGAACCGUACAGUGCUGGCUCUGAGAUUCUCUUUUGUCAACGGGAAACUAUGGUGGAGGCGUAACAUGACCGACAGGUGAUUUAUACACGUCAUUGUUGAUUUUUAACUGGUGAUUCUGUUUUUAAUUGCAUCGAGUGUAAACUGUCAGUCUUUCCCACCUGUCAUAUCUGAGAGGACCACAAUUGAAAAAAGCCUUCAGGCAUUAUUGUGUU